rnacentral:lncRNA from 1 species
UUUUUCAGGACGACUCCGCCGCACCACCCGCUUCGCCUCCGACGUCGAUCUCCGACAUGCCCAAGGGUCGCCGUAGACGAGAAGCCGGCGCAUCCGCCUCCGGUGAUGAGAGGAGGAAGAAGCGGAAAUCGAUCGCCAAUCUGCUGACCUCCAUCGCGGCGAUCGACGCCCAGGAUGAGUCCGAGCGGCGCGAGUCCGACGAAGACUCUCGCCGCGAGCUCUCACUUCUCGAGGAGAACCACCACCGGAAGGCUGAGGUCAUGCUCGACUACUACUCCCGCCUCGAGGACAACUUCUCCGCCCUCGACGAUGACGCUGACACCCUCCGCUCCAAGCGCGUCCGAGUAGCCGCCUCUGCGGUCGCCGCUGCAGCGGCGGCGGCCUCCGCUUCCGUCGAGAACGACGCUGGCCCUGCCACUUCCGCCGCCGGAAGCGGCCACCAGCAGAGGCGGCUUUGGGUGAAGGACCGGUCGCGAGCGUGGUGGGAC